UACGUAGGGUGCAAGCGUUGUCCGGAAUUAUUGGGCGUAAAGAGCUCGUAGGCGGUUUGUCGCGUCUGCUGUGAAAACUCGGGGCUUAACCCUGGGCCUGCAGUGGGUACGGGCAGACUAGAGUGCGGUAGGGGAGAUUGGAAUUCCUGGUGUAGCGGUGGAAUGCGCAGAUAUCAGGAGGAACACCGAUGGCGAAGGCAGAUCUCUGGGCCGUAACUGACGCUGAGGAGCGAAAGCAUGGGGAGCGAACAGG
rnacentral:rRNA from 1 species